GAUGAACGCUGGCGGCGUGCCUAAUACAUGCAAGUCGAGCGAAGCGGGGACGGGUGAGUAACACGUGGAUAACCUCCUAUAAGACUGGGAUAACUUCGGGAAACCGGAGCUAAACCGGAUACUUAUCGAUGGAUCCGUGCUGGAUUAGCUAGUUGGUAGGGUAACGGCUUACCAAGGCAACGCUGCAUUGCCGGCCUGAGAGGGGGAUCAGCCACACUGGAACUGGGACACGGUCCAGACUCCUACGUGAGGCAGCAGUAGGGAAUCUUCCGCAAUGGGGGGAAGGCUGACGGAGCCACGCCGCGUGAGAGGUGAAGGUCUUCGGAGCGUAAAACUCUGUUAUUAGGGAAGCGGUACCUAAUCAGAAAGCCACGGCUAACUACGGGCCAGCAGCCGCGGUAAUAC
rnacentral:rRNA from 1 species